rnacentral:rRNA from 1 species
CAUUCACGGAGAGUUUGAUCCUGGCUCAGGACGAACGCUGGCGGCGUGCUUAACACAUGCAAGUCGAACGAUGAAGCCUUUCGGGGUGGAUUAGUGGCGAACGGGUGAGUAACACGUGGGCAAUCUGCCCUUCACUCUGGGACAAGCCCUGGAAACGGGGUCUAAUACCGGAUAACACUCUGUCCCGCAUGGGACGGGGUUAAAAGCUCCGGCGGUGAAGGAUGAGCCCGCGGCCUAUCAGC